rnacentral:ncRNA from 1 species
AUAUAGUUUUAUUCUAACUAUUAAAUUAAAUAGAAAGUUAUGUUACAUGUAUAUUUUUAAAUUGAUUGACUUUUUAUCUAAAUGGUAUGGUAUUAAAAAAAGCGCAGUAUUUAAUAUUAUAAAUUAACAAAUUUAGAAAUAAUAAAUUUUAUAAUAGAAGACAAAAUUCGUGCCAGCAGUUGCGGUUAUACGAUUUUCUGAAUUUAAUUAUGUUAGUUUCAGUUAAAAAUAUGUUAAUAAUAAUUUUUUUUAAAUUUUGGUGAAAUAAUAUAUAAUUAAGUAUUUAUUUUUAUGUCUGAGAAAUUUUUUAAAAAAACUAGGAUUAGAUACCCUACUAUUAAAAAUGUAAAUUAAAAUUAAUUGACUAGAUUAUUAAUAGUUAUGAUCUUAAAAUUCAAAGAAUUUGGCGGUAAUUUAUCUAAUCAGAGGAAUCUGUUUUGUAAUCGAUAAUCCACGAUAGAUUAUACUUUAAAUACACUUGUAUACCUCUGUCAAGAAUGUUUUAUAAGAAAAAUUUUCAUUUAUUUUAUUAAUAUAAUGUCAAGUCAAGGUGCAGUUAAAUUUUAAAGAAAAAAUGGAUUACAUUUUUAAGUAAAUGAAUUAUUUUCUAUAAUGAGAAUUAUGAAAUUGGAUUUGAAAGUAAAUAUUUAAUUAAAUAUAAUUAUUUGAAUAUAAGUUCUAAAUUAUGCACACAUCGCCCGUCACUCCCAUUAUAAAGUGGGAUAAGUCGUAACAAAGUAGCUGUACUGGAAGGUGUAGCUAGAAUGAG